rnacentral:rRNA from 1 species
GAUGAACGCUGGCGGCGUGCUUAACACAUGCAAGUCGAACGGACCGCGCAAGCGGUUAGUGGCAGACGGGUGCGUAACACGUAGGUGACCUGCCCUCGAGUGGGGAAUAACGCGACUAACGUCGCGCUAAUACCGCAUAAGUUUGCUCCUUCGGUGGAGCAAGUAAAGCAGCAAUGCGCUUGGGGAUGGGCCUGCGGCGGAUUAGGUAGUUGGUGGGGUAACGGCCUACCAAGCCGAUGAUCCGUAGGGGGCGUGAGAGCGUGGCCCCCCACAUUGGCACUGAGACACGGGCCAAACUCCUACGGGAGGCAGCAGUGAGGAAUAUUGCACAAUGGGCGCAAGCCUGAUCCAGCAAUGCCGCGUGCAGGAUGAAGGCCUUCGGGUUGUAAACUGCUUUUGUACGGAACGAAACGGUGAGCUCUAAUAAAGCUUGCUAAUGACGGUACCGUAAGAAUAAGCACCGGCUAACUACGUG